rnacentral:rRNA from 1 species
GACGAACGCUGGCGGCGUGCUUAACGCAUGCAAGUCGAACGGUAAGGCCCUUCGGGGUACACGAGUGGCGAACGGGUGAGUAACACGUGGGCGAUCUGCCCUGCACUUCGGGAUAAGCCUGGGAAACUGGGUCUAAUACCGGAUAGGACCACUGCCUGCAUGGGUGGUGGUGGAAAGCUUUUGCAGUGUGGGAUGGGCCCGCGGCCUAUCAGCUUGUUGGUGGGGUGAUGGCCUACCAAGGCGACGACGGGUAGCCGGCCAGAGAGGGUGACCGGCCACACUGGGGCGGAGAGACGGCAAAGACUCCUGCGGGGGACAGCGGUGGGGAAUAAUGCACAAGGGGCGCAAGCCUAAUGCAGCGACGCCGCGUGAGGGAUGACGGGCUUCGGGUUGUAAACCUCUUUAAGCACCGACGAAGCGCAAGUGACGGUAGGUGCAGAAGAAGGACCGGCCAACUACGUGCCAGCCGCCGCCGUAA